AAGUCAGGCAACGAGCGAGACCCACGCCAACAGUUGCCCAGGCUCGGUCCUCCCGGGGAUGGUGGGGACACUGUUGGGACCGCCUCUGCUAAAGAGGAGGAAGGAAUGGGCAACGGUAGGUCAGCAUGCCCCGAAUUAUCUGGGCUACACGCGGGCUACAAUGGGUGGGACAAUGGGUAUCGACACCGAAAGGUGAAGGCAAUCUCCUAAACCCAUCCGUAGUUCGGAUUGUGGGCUGCAACUCGCCCACAUGAAGCUGGAAUCUGUAGUAAUCGUGUCUCAAAAUGGCACGGUGAAUAUGUCCCUGCUCCUU
rnacentral:rRNA from 1 species